UUACGGUCAUACCCCAUCGGAACACCAGUUCUAGGACGAUUACCGAAGUUAAGCAACAUCGAGCCUUGUUAGUACUUAGAUGGGUGACUGUUUGGUAACGCCAAGCGCUGUAAG